rnacentral:rRNA from 1 species
ACGAACCGGACAAACGUUAAUCGCAAGAAAGGGGAAAAAAGGGAGAGGAGGCGGCCUGACAAGUUGGGUGUGAAAUCCCUCGGCUCAACCGAGGAAUUGCGCUCAAAACUGUUGGGCUUGAGGGAGUUAGAGGUAAGCGGAACUUAGGGUGGAGCGGUGAAAUGCGUUGAUAUCCUAAGGAACACCAGUGGCGAAAGCGGCUUACUGGAGCUUUUCUGACGCUGAGGCACGAAAGCUAGGGGAGCGAACGG